UACAGAGGGGGCAAGCGUUGUUCGGAAUUACUGGGCGUAAAGGGCGCGUAGGCGGCCUGCUAAGUCGAACGUGAAAUCCCCGAGCUCAACUCGGGAACUGCGUCCGAUACUGGCAGGCUUGAAUCCGGGAGAGGGAUGCGGAAUUCCAGGUGUAGCGGUGAAAUGCGUAGAUAUCUGGAGGAACACCGGUGGCGAAGGCGGCGACCUGGUCCGAGACUGACGCUGAGGCGCGAAAGCGUGGGGAGCAAACAGG
rnacentral:rRNA from 1 species